rnacentral:tRNA from 3 species
GGAGACGUGCCAGAGCGGCCGAAUGGGACUCACUGCUAAUGAGUUGUCUUCCUAACAGAGGACCGGAGGUUCAAAUCCUCUCGUCUCCGCCA